rnacentral:rRNA from 1 species
UAGCGGGAGGCCUAACACAUGCAAGCCGAGCGGUAGAUUACUUUCGGGUAAUUGAGAGCGGCGUAAAGAUGCGGAACACGUGUGCAACCUGCCUUUAUCAGGGGGAUAGCCUUUCAAAAGGAAGAUUAAUACCCCAUAAUAUAUUAUUCGGCAUCGGGUGAUAUUGAAAACUACGGUGGAUAGAGAUGGGCACGCGCAAGAUUAGCUAGUUGGUGAGGUAACGGCUCACCAAGGCGACGAUCUUUAGGGGGCCUGAGAGGGUGAUCCCCCACACUGGUACUGAGACACGGACCAGACUCCUACGGGAGGCAGCAGUGAGGAAUAUUGGACAAUGGGUGGAAGCCUGAUCCAGCCAUCCCGCGUGCAGGAAGACGGCCCUAUGGGUUGUAAACUGCUUUUAUCUGGGGAUAAACCUACUUACGUGUAAGUAGCUGAAGGUACCAGAAGAAUAAGCACCGGCUAACUCCGUGCCAGCAGCCGCGGUAAUACUGAGGGUGCAAGCGUCAUCCGGAUUUAUUGUGUUUAAAGGGUCCGUAGGCGGACUGACAAGUCAGUGGUGAAAAAUGACAGCUUGACUAACUGACUGCCAGCGAGACUGAUUGUCAUGAGUAAGGUUGAAGCCCAGAAAUAAGGUAGUGUAUCGGUUCAAAUGCAUGAUAUCACCCAGAACACCAACUGUGAAGGCAGCUCACUUUGUCUUAACUGACGCUGAUGGAAGAAAGCGUGGGGAGCGAACAGGAUUAGAUUCCUAGGUAGUCCACGCCGUAUACGAUGAUUACUCGUUUUUUGGUUUAAUGAUUCAGAGACUAAGCGAAAGUGAUAAGUAAUCCACCUGGGGAGUUCGUUCGCAAGAAUGAAACUCAAAGGAAUUGACGGGGGCCCGCACAAGCGGUGGAGCAUGUGGUUUAAUUCGAUGAUACGCGAGGAACCUUACCAAGACUUAAAUGGGAAUUGACAGACGCAGAAAUGUGUUUUUCUUCGGACAAUUUUCAAGGUGCUGCAUGGUUGUCGUCAGCUCGUGCCGUGAGGUGUUAGGUUAAGUCCUGCAACGAGCGCAACCCCUGUCACUAGUUGCUAACAUUAAGUUGAGGACUCUAGUGAGACUGCCUACGCAAGUAGAGAGGAAGGUGGGGAUGACGUCAAAUCAUCACGGCCCUUACGUCUUGGGCCACACACGUGCUACAAUGGCCGGUACAGAGGGCAGCUACCUAGUGAUAGGAUGCAAAUCUCGAAAGCCGGUCUCAGUUCGGAUUGGAGUCUGCAACUCGACUCUAUGAAGCUGGAAUCGCUAGUAAUUGUGCAUCAGCCAUGGCGCGGUGAAUACGUUCCCGGCCCUUGUACACACCGCCCGUCAAGCCAUGGAAGCUGGGGGUACCUGAAGUCGGUGACCGUAAAAGGAGCUGCCUAGGGUAAAAC